rnacentral:lncRNA from 1 species
ACUUUAUGAAUUAUCAGAAACCCUUUUCUCAUAUUCUGAUUUUAAUUGAUCUUUAGUUUCUAAUCCGAAACUAAUAAUCUGAAAUGUUAAGAACCUUCAUUUUAUACUAUUACUAUAAAAAUUGAAUAUCAAAAAAAUUUUGAUAUACCUAAACUUUGCAAAAUUUUUUAUCGAAUUUUUUACUACAUAGAGACAAUCAAUGAAAAAAGACGAAAAAAACCUAGUACUAAAUUUUUACACU